UACGUAGGGUGCAAGCGUUGUUCGGAAUUACUGGGCGUAAAGCGCACGUAGGCGGCUUUGUAAGUUAGAGGUGAAAGCCCAGAGCUCAACUCUGGAACUGCCUUUAAGACUGCAUCGCUUGAAUCAUGGAGAGGUCAGUGGAAUUCCGAGUGUAGGGGUGAAAUUCGUAGAUAUUCGGAAGAACACCAGUGGCGAAGGCGACUGACUGGACAUGUAUUGACGCUGAGGUGCGAAAGCGUGGGGAGCAAACAGG
rnacentral:rRNA from 1 species